AUCCAGUUGGGAACUGAGCACUGAGCUUUGGUUGGAUCUAAGCUCUGACCCAGGACAUCAACCGUGAGCACUGAGCCGCUCCUCCCAUCUGCAGAUCCGCUUGCGCCGCUGUCAUCUUCACGGCCGACCGGCAAGACCGGCGGCGCUCUCGGUGACCAGAUUAACAACUGCCUGGGAGGCAAUGGACGUAACUUUCUGUCAACUGGUCUGUGCUUAAUCUGAACUUCCUGCAACUGACUCAAACUUUGUUGCAUUCGGAAUUCUGGGAGAGAGAUUGUUGCAGCGAAGAGCACAAAGAACGAGAAGAUGGAGUUUGUGGUGGGUGCUUCGGAAGCAACCAUGAAAUCUCUCCUAGGCAAGCUGGGCAGCCUCCUCGCCCAGGAGUAUACUCUGAUCCGUGGAGUCCGCCGCGACGUCCAGUACAUCAAUGACGAGCUCACCACUAUGCAGGCCUUCCUUGGUGAUGUUAGCUCUGCUCCGGACGGCCAUGACCGUAGGCUGAAGGACUGGAUGAAGCAGAUCCGUGACAUGGCAUAUGACAUGGAGGACUGCAUUGACGACUUUGCCCACCGCCUCCCUCACGACUCCCUCAGUGAUGCCACGUGCUCCUUCAUAGUGAUGAGAGUCUACGAGCUCUGGACGUUUGGGCCUCGCCGUGAAAUUGCUUCCAAGAUUGCUGACCUCAAGCUCCGGGCACAACAGAUUGCUGAACGCCGCGGCAGAUAUGGAGUGGAUAACCCAGGCAACAGUAACAGCAGCACCUCUGUAGCUGGAGCCUCCCGUGCUGCUAGGCAUGAGCAUGACAUUACUGAGCAUCUGAUGGGGAGCCGUCAGCUCAUCCGUACAGAGAAGCCUGUGGGGGUGGGAGCAUACAUGAGGGAGCUUGGGAAUUGGCUAAACAAACGUGAUAAUAUUUCUGGAAAGCAUCGAGCUGUUCUGUCCAUAGUCGGUUUUGGUGGCAUGGGAAAGACCACCAUUGCAACGGCAUUGUACCGAAACUUCAGAAAUGAAUUUGACUGCCGGGCAUCAGUCACCGUGUCUCAGAACUACGACGAAGAUGAAGUGCUCAGGGAUAUUCUUGGUCAAAUCAAGCCACAGGACAGCGAGCAUGAGCAGCAAGGCAGCAGCAAAGGGGGUUUGGAGAAAAAAAGACUAUCUGCAGACAUUAAAAGCUCAGUGAAGCGUGUUUUUCCACUGAUCUUCGGCCACAGGCAGCAGGGCAAUGAUGGCAGCUCUAAUUGGAUGCAGAACAAGAUCGAAACAAUGAACCGUGAUCAACUCGUCAAAGAACUGGAAGGGCGACUGAAUGGAAAGAGGUAUCUCCUUUUGAUUGAUGACAUAUGGUCUGCAGAAACAUGGGAUAAGAUCAGAAAUUGGUUGCCACAUGAUAACACAAAAGACAGUAGAGUGAUAGUGACUACAAGAUUUCAAGCUGUUGGUGCAGCGUGCUCCGAAGGAGAGGGAACUGAUCAUCUGCAUACAGUUGAUGUCCUUAACGAUGUCGACUCCAAAAGUUUGUUCAAUCAUAGUGUUUAUGAAUCGGAAAGUAGCGAGAAAGAACAAGUGCAUGAGGACAUUUGGAAAUAUUGUGGGGGGCUGCCUUUGGCCAUAGUUGCCGUUGCUGGUCUUGUCGCCUGCAACCGAAGAAAAAAAAGUGACCACUGGAGUAAAGUUUGCGAGUCAUUAUUUACAGAGCAGGGGGCUCCACUUACCCUGGAUGGUGUCACAAGGAUACUUGAUUAUUGCUACGAUGAUUUGUCUGCAGAGCUCAAAACCUGCUUAUUGUACUUGAGCAUAUUUCCGAAGGGUUCGAAAAUUAGUAGGAAGCGUCUAACAAGGCGUUGGAUAUCUGAAUGUUUUGUCAGUGGGAAGCAAGGGUUGACCGAGGAUGAAGUUGCAGAAACAUACUUUAAUCAGCUCAUAGAAAGGAAGAUAAUACGUCCUUUAGAGCACAGCAGCAAUGGGAAGGUAAAAUCGUUCAAAGUUCAUGACAUGAUCCUUGAAUACAUCGUGUCCAAGUCAAGCGAAGAGAAUUUCAUUACUGUUGUUGGUGGCCACUGGCAGAUGCCAGCACCUAGCAAUAAAGUCCGUCGACUGUCGAUGCAAAGCAGUGGUUCCAAGCAUGGGAAUUCGACGAAAGGCAUGAACUUGUCUCAAGUGCGAUCACUGACUGUGUUUGGAAGCAUGAACAAGCUGCCUUUCCAUUCAUUCAAUAAUGGAAUAAUUCAAGUGCUGGAUCUCGAGGGCUGGAAGGGUUUGACACAUAACCAUCUGAAUGACAUAUGUAGAAUGCUUGUACUGAAGUAUUUGAGCCUCCGAAGAACAGAAGUGGCCAAGAUUCCCUCCAAGAUUGAGAAGCUUCAGUAUCUGGAAACUCUUGACAUCAGGGAGACAAAUGUGGUGGUGCUGCCCAAAGCUUUCGGCCAGCUCCAACGGCUCCGCAGCAUGCUUGGAGGGAGCAAAAAUCCAAGAAAGGCGUUGAGGUUGCCUCAAGAGAAAAAUAAGGAGCAGAUGAAAGCACUGCGCAUACUGUCAGGGAUUGAGAUCACUGAGGGCUCAACAGCUGUAGCAAGCCUCCAUCAGCUGACGGGGCUAAGGAAACUUGCCAUUUACAAACUCAACGUACAGAAGGGUGGUCGGACCUCCACACAGUUGCGCUCCUCCAUUGAGUAUCUCUGCAGCUGCGGCCUGCAGACUCUUGCAAUCAAUGAUGAGGGUUCUGAUUUUAUCAGUUCACUGGAUGCCAUGUCCGCUCCUCCAAGAUACCUCAUCGCCCUGGAGCUGUCGGGCAAGAUGAAAAGAGCCCCAAAGUGGAUCAACAAUCUCAAAAACCUCUUCAAGCUAACCCUCUCCGUGACAGUUCUCCGGGCUGAUACUUUGGAGCUCCUCGGUGACCUUCCUAAACUGUUCUCUCUCACCUUUUCGCUCAGUGCAGCGAAGCAGGAUCAGGCCGACAUAGAGGACAUGCUUCAGGAAAAUAAACGCCUCGGUGAUGGGGAGAUCGUUGUUCCACCUGGAGGGUUUGCGAAUCUAAAGCUGCUUCGCUUCUUUGCAACUAUUGUGCCAAGGCUUACAUUUACAGCGAAGGCAAUGCCAGCACUCGAGAGGAUCGAUAUGCGGUUUCAGGCCUUUGAAGGGAUCUAUGGGGUGGACACACUUGAAAGUAUCCAAGAGGUGCAUCUGAGCGUUGAUAGUCAAGCAGAUGAAGCAACCAAGUUCUUGGUUGGAUAUUUGAAGGACAACACCAAGCGGACAAAAAUAAUCACUAACUGAAGGAAGUAUCACCGCAAGAUACUGCUGUCACUCGGAGCACAUACGCAACCAUCAAUCAGAGUGAAAGUUCUCGACGACAUGAAUUUGGAUGGGAAAUGGAACUAUUCUGUUGCAGAAGGUGCAUGGUUUGGCCCCCCUAAUACCGCACACAUGAACCGUCCGUCCGUCCAAUCCAGUGUGUAAACUGGAACCGGCCCAAGUAUUUCGUCAAGCCCACCCAAUCCAAUCCAAUGGGCCUAACAAGUAGGCCCAUCCACAAAAAGGCCCAACUGAUCACCUCUCCUGCCUUCGCCUCUCCGUUCGUCCGUCCGUCUCCCCUUCCACCGGCGAUGGCGCUCUCCGGCGACGCGCCGCUCUCCUCGACGCCAUUGUCACACGAAGCUCCCCCGAAGAAGCGUCCUCCUCCGGGGCUCUCCCGUGUUCUUAUGCGACAAGGGUCGACAGGGCAGGGAAACCUUUACCCGGUUCCCCUCUUUCAGUCUUUCUUCCUGUCCAAACAAAGAUGAAGAGAACUUUCCAUACGAAGAAUGCACUGCUCUCUUUCCUU